rnacentral:rRNA from 1 species
UACGGGGGGGGCAAGCGUUGUUCGGAAUUACUGGGCGUAAAGGGCUCGUAGGUGGCCAACUAAGUCAGACGUGAAAUCCCUCAGCUUAACUGGGGAACUGCGUCUGAUACUGGAUGGCUUGAGUUUGGGAGAGGGAUGCGGAAUUCCAGGUGUAGCGGUGAAAUGCGUAGAUAUCUGGAGGAACACCGGUGGCGAAGGCAGGUCUCUGGGCUGACACUGACGCUCAUGCACGAAAGCGUGGGGAGCAAACAGG